GACGAACGCUGGCGGCGUGCCUAAUACAUGCAAGUAGAACGCUGAAGAGAGGAGCUUGCUCUUCUUGGAUGAGUUGCGAACGGGUGAGUAACGCGUAGGUAACCUGCCUUGUAGCGGGGGAUAACUAUUGGAAGCGAUAGCUAAUACCGCAUAACAAUGGAUGACACAUGUCAUUUAUUUGAAAGGGGCAAUUGCUCCACUACAAGAUGGACCUGCGUUGUAUUAGCUAGUAGGUGAGGUAAUGGCUCACCUAGGCGACGAUACAUAGCCGACCUGAGAGGGUGUUCGGCCACACUGGGAAUGGGACACGGCCCAGACUCCUACGGGAGGCAGCAGUAGGGAAUCCUCGGCAAUGGGGGCAACCCUGACCGAGCAACGCCGCGGGAGUGAAGAAGGUUUUCGGAUCGUAAAGCUCUGUUGUAAGUCAAGAACGGGUGUGAGAGUGGAAAGUUCACACUGUGACGGUAGCUUACCAGAAAGGGACGGCUAACUACGUG
rnacentral:rRNA from 1 species